rnacentral:lncRNA from 10 species
GGGUACAGAGAAUCUAUAGAUAAGUACAUUAAUGGACAAAUGAGUACCAGGAGUGAUACUGAAACAGAGACCUGACGGAAGUGAGGGACUGGCCAUGCAGAUACCUGGGGGAAUGCAUUUCAGGCAGAGGGAACAGCACAGGCAAAGAUCCUGGUAGGUGACGACGUGUCUGAGAAACAGUGAGGAGACCGGCAGAGUGAUUAGGGGGGUGGUUCAGAGAGGUAAUGGGGGUGGUGGCCAACUGUGC